rnacentral:rRNA from 1 species
UAGGGAAUCUUCGGCAAUGGACGAAAGUCUGACCGAGCAACGCCGCGUGAGUGAAGAAGGUUUCCGGAUCGUAAAACUCUGUUGGUAGAGAAGAACGUUGGUGAGAGUGGAAAGCUCAUCAAGUGACGGUAACUACCCAGAAAGGGACGGCUAACUACGUGCCGG